AUGCUUGCUUUGGCAACACAAAUACUAAAAUUGGAAUGAUACAGAGAAGAUUAGCAUGCCCCUGCACAAGGAUGACACCCAAAUUCAUGAAGCAUUCCUUUUCUUU
rnacentral:snRNA from 1 species